rnacentral:misc_RNA from 1 species
AACGGUCUAUACCUGCGGUACCUGCGGAGGGAUCAUUACCGAGUUAUCCAACUCCCAACCCCUGUGAAUUAUACCUUUAAUUGUUGCUUCGGCGGGACUUCGCGCCCGCCGGGGACCCAAACCUUCUGAAUUUUUUAAUAAGUAUCUUCUGAGUGGUUAAAAAAAUGAAUCAAAACUUUCAACAACGGAUCUCU